rnacentral:rRNA from 1 species
UACGAAGGGGGCUAGCGUUGCUCGGAAUUACUGGGCGUAAAGAGCGCGCAGGCGGUCGUCCAAGUCGCGUGUGAAAGCCCCCGGCUCAACUGGGGAGGGUCACGCGAUACUGGUCGACUCGAAGGCAGGAGAGGGUAGUGGAAUUCCCGGUGUAGUGGUGAAAUGCGUAGAUAUCGGGAGGAACACCAGUGGCGAAGGCGACUACCUGGCCUGUUCUUGACGCUGAGGCGCGAAAGCUAGGGGAGCAAACGGG